UUUUGCCUCCUUUUCUUGAAAUGGUGGGAUUACAGUGACUUGUCAGGUAAGAAAGCAUAAGAAUCUGAUUUUUAUUCAAAUUUUUAAAAAAUGGAAUAUUCAAAAUUUGGGCCAGAUCCUAGAAAUGUCUGUUUCUUUUUGGUUCUGGGAUAUGAAAAGGUGUCAUUUUCCCAUCACCAUGUUGAAAAUUUGGUCUGUUUCUUGACACUGUUUGAAUACAGGAAGAACUAAGUCAGAUACAGACCAAAAGGACCAUUUUCUCUGCCCUCAAAAGAUCCAAGUGAUGAUGAGACACAAGGUAAAGUGACUGUGACUUUACAGCCAAAGGGACACAAUCUCCAGAAGGCUCCAGCCAUUAUCUUGGUAAAAGAAACAGCAGCAUUCAGAUAUCUGCACUCCUCACAGCCUGGUUCAAAGCAAAAACCACCAGUCAUCUCUGACAGUCAUCCUGUGUUUUGUUCAGGUGCUUCCUACUCCUCAUGGUAUUCACAGCUUCAGGAGUUUCUCUUAGGCAAGACGUGCAGAACUGAACAUUUCCAGGAAGUGCUUUACAGGGACCAGCAAGAGGCAGAGUGCACUUCAAAUAUUUUACAGUGGCUGAAAUCCCACUCAUCAUUUCUCAGGUUUUCCUUACUGUUUUAUCAGACUGGAACUCCAGACGACUAACAACAAGCUUGCUUGUUUUGGACAGUAAAAUAAAGGAUGAAAAUGAAAGGUGGUACA
rnacentral:lncRNA from 1 species